UGGUUCUGGCAUNGAUGAAGAACGCAGCGAAAUGCGAUAAGUAAUGUGAAUUGCAGAAUUCAGUGAAUCAUCGAAUCUUUGAACGCACAUUGCGCCCCGUGGUAUUCCGCGGGGCAUGCCUGUUCGAGCGUCAGUACAACACUCAAGCUCUGCUUGGUAUUGGACCGCAUCAGUUCUGAUCGGUCUUAAAAUCAGUGGCGGUGCCAUCGUGCUCUAAGCGUAGUAAUACUCCUCGCUACAGGGUCUCGGUGCGUGCUUGCCAGCAACCCCCAACUUUCUAAGUUUGACCUCGGAUCAGGUAGGGAUACCCGCUGA
rnacentral:misc_RNA from 1 species